rnacentral:rRNA from 1 species
UACGAAGGGUGCAAGCGUUACUCGGAAUUACUGGGCGUAAAGCGUGCGCAGACGGUUGCGUAAGUCAGAUGUGAAAGCCCCGGGCUCAACCUGGGAAUGGCGAUGGAUACUGGCUCGCUAGAGUGCGGUAGAGGAGAGUGGAAUUCCCGGUGUAGCAGUGAAAUGCGUAGAGAUCGGGAGGAACAUCAGUUGCGAAGGCGGCUCUCUGGACCAGCACUGACACUGAGGCACGAAAGCGUGGG